rnacentral:rRNA from 1 species
AAUCAACGCUGGCGGCGUGCCUAACACAUGCAAGUCGAACGCGAAAGCCCCGCAAGGGGUCUGUUGAGUGGCAAACGGGUGAGUAACACGUGGGUGACCUGCCUUCGAGUGGGGGAUAACGUCCCGAAAGGGACGCUAAUACCGCAUGACAUCCUGCUUUUGAAAACGCGGAGAUCAAAGCUUGGGAUCGUAAGACCUAGCGCUUGAAGAGGGGCCCGCGCCUGAUUAGCUAGUUGGGGAGGCAACCGCGCACCAAGGCGACGAUCAGUAUCCGGCCUGAGGGGGAGGACGGACACACUGGGACUGGGGCACCGCCCAGACUUCUACGGGAGGCAGCAGGGGGGGAUUGUUCGCGAUGGGGGGAAGCCCGGCGGCGGAACGCCGGGGGGAGGGAGAAGGUCUUGGGGUCGUGAACUCCUGUCGGGCGGGAAGGACGCUUCGCGGAUGAAUAAUCCGCGGAAUUGACGGUACCGAUAGAGGAAGCCCCGGCUAACUUCGUG